rnacentral:tRNA from 1 species
GCAGGAAUUGUAGUGGUGAAAGGAUAAAUAUUGAUCUCCCGGUGUCAAUCUUGCCAAGGUUGAAGUCGCGAGUUCGAAUCUCGUUUCCCGCUCCA